rfam:Weissella paramesenteroides ATCC 33313 genomic scaffold SCAFFOLD2, whole genome shotgun sequence.
GCGAAUAUAGUUCAGCUGGUAGAACGCUACCUUGCCAUGGUAGAGGUCGCGGGUUCGAAUCCCGUUGUUCGCU